rnacentral:rRNA from 1 species
CAUGGCGCUGCUACCUGCAAGUCGAACGAAGAGGCCCCUUCGGGGGUACUUCAGUGGCGGACGGGUGAGUAACACGUAGGUGACCUGCCCCGAGGCAGGGGAUAACGGCUCGAAAGGGCCGCUAAUACCCAAAAGGAUCGCGAGUCGCAUCGCGAUCAGAGUUACGGCGUCUCGGGAGGGGCCUGCGGCCCAUCAGCUAGUUGGUAGGGUAACGGCCUACCAAGGCGACGACGGGUAGGGGACCUGAGAGGGUGAUCCCCCACAUUGGCACUGACACACGGGCCAAACUCCUACGGGAGGCAGCAGUGAGGAAUAUUGCGCAAUGAGCGAAAGCUAGACGCAGCAACGCCGCGUGGACGAUGAAGGCCUUCGGGUCGUAAAGUCCUUUUCAGAGGGACGAGUGAGGACGGUACCUCUGGAAUAAGUCACGGCUAACUACGUGCCAGCAGCCGCGGUAAAACGUAGGUGGCGAGCGUUAUCCGGAUUCACUGGGCGUAAAGCGCCUGCAGGCGAUCUUGUAAGUGGGAUGUGAAAUCUCCUGGCUUAACUGGGAGGGGCCAUUCCAUACUGCGAGACUUGAGGGCAGAAGAGGGAAGCGGAAUUCCCGGUGUAGUGGUGAAAUGCGUAGAUAUCGGGAGGAACACCAGUGGCGAAGGCGGCUUCCUGGCCUGCUCCUGACGCUAAGAGGCGAAAGCUAGGGGAGCGAACGGGAUUAGAAACCCCGGUAGUCCUAGCUAUAAACGAUGGAUACUGGGUGUCGGUGGUCCUAACCCCAUCGGUGCCGAAGCUAACGCGUUAAGUAUCCCGCCUGGGGGAC